CCUACGGGUGGCAGCAGUGGGGAAUAUUGCACAAUGGGCGAAACCCUGAUGCAGCGACGCCGCGUGAAGGAUGAAGUAUUUCGGUAUGUAAACUUCUAUCAGCAGGGAAGAAAAUGACGGUACCUGACUAAGAAGCCCCUGCUAACUACGUGCCAGCAGCCGCGGUCAUACGUAGGGGGCACGCUUUAUCCGGAUUUGCUGGGUUUAAAGGGAGCGUAGACGGUAUGGCAAGUCGGAUGUGAAAACCCGGGGCUCAACCCCGGGACUGCAUUGGAAACUGCCGAAAUAGAGUUUCGGAGAGGGAAGGAGAAUUCCUAGUGUAGCGGUGAAAUGCGUAGAUAUUAGGAGGGACACCAGUGGCGAAGGCGGCUUGCUGGACGAGGAAUGACGUUGAGGCUCGAAAGCGUGGGGAGCAAACAGGAUUAGAUACCCCUGGUAGUC
rnacentral:rRNA from 1 species